rnacentral:rRNA from 1 species
UACAGAGGUGGCAAGCGUUGUUCGGAAUUACUGGGCGUAAAGGGCGCGUAGGCGGUCUUGCAAGUCCCGUGUGAAAUCCCUCGGCUCAACUGAGGAAUUGCACGGGAAACUGCUUGGCUUGAGAUCGGGAGAGGGAUGCGGAAUUCCGGGUGUAGUGGUGGAAUGCGUAGAGAUCGGGAAGAACAUCAGUGGCGAAGGCGGCCUGCUGGGCUGUUGCUGACGCUGAGGCGCGACAGCGUGGGGAGCAAACAGG